rnacentral:rRNA from 1 species
UACGUAGGGUGCAAGCGUUGUCCGGAAUUAUUGGGCGUAAAGAGCUCGUAGGCGGUCUGUCGCGUCUGCUGUGAAAACCCGGGGCUCAACCCCGGGCUUGCAGUGGAUACGGGCAGACUAGAGUUCGGUAGGGGAGACUGGAAUUCCUGGUGUAGCGGUGAAGUGCGCAGAUAUCAGGAGGAACACCGGUGGCGAAGGCGGGUCUCUGGGCCGAUACUGACGCUGAGGAGCGAAAGCGUGGGGAGCGAACAGG